rnacentral:rRNA from 1 species
UACGAAGGGGGCUAGCGUUGUUCGGAUUUACUGGGCGUAAAGCGCACGUAGGCGGAUCGUUAAGUCAGGGGUGAAAUCCUGGGGCUCAACCCCAGAACUGCCUUUGAUACAGCACGUCUUGAGUCCGAUAGAGGUGGGUGGAAUUCCUAGUGUAGAGGUGAAAUUCGUAGAUAUUAGGAAGAACACCGGUGGCGAAGGCGGCCCACUGGAUCGGUACUGACGCUGAGGUGCGAAAGCGUGGGGAGCAAACAGG